rnacentral:lncRNA from 1 species
AUGGGAGGGCCCCUGGACCCCUGUAGGGAGUAGGAAAGCUCUGUGUCAGGGGGAGGGCAGGAGGUUCUGUGCAGCCUUCAGAGGAUGGAGCAGUGACGAGUAUGUCAGGUGACAUGUUCCAGACUUGGACAGGAGGGCGCACGGGGGAAGACCAGGGGAAGGGUGCUGUCAUGCAGAAAAGUGCUGGGACUGGACAGAAAUGGCGACACCCAGAGGAGUCAGCUCUCAACAAGCCUCGGAGCAUCCCCAAAUUGUAUUUGAUUCUCAUUGUUGCCUUCCUUCUUUAGGCCUGCUUUCACUACCUGGGCCUCAGGGUCCUAAUUUUGUCACCUGAGAGACAUCAUGGAGAAAUGAGAAGAGAAAUGAAUGAGGAGUCAGAAGAUAAUGGAUGUCAAACUCGCCGUUCUUCACUGUGUUCAACUGCAAUGUGACAAGAGCCCAGGACACCUUCCCUUCCUGCCCAGGUGGAGAUUUCUGUCUGGUUACCCGAGAUCCCUAAGAAACUCUUCAGAGCAAUUUUCCAUUUCAGACUUGCCCCUCAGCCCUAAGACACACUGUGAGUCUGGCCAUUGCCACCACCGAGCUUCAUGACAACCAACUCCCACAGAAGGAAUCGCAGUUUCCCGAAGACCCACACUGCCCUGGCUCGGGGGCUUUACACGUGAGCGCGCUCCCCUGGGGCCGCACCACCUCCCACCUUCUUUGACUCGUCCUGGAGGGGACACCUCACCACCUUUCUUCUGGUACUGUGGCUCCCAGACUCUCAUUCUAUGGGUGGGGGGUUUCCUGCUUAUCCUUGUGUCCCCAUUACUGACACAGGGCCUUCCUGAGAGCAGAGGCUCAGCAAAAGUCUGGGGAAGAAUGGAGCCAGUGAGCAGGGGUCUUAGUCAUGCAGACUAAAUUUCUCUGAGUUUCUUGAAUCAACCCAAGAAAUCCGGGCAUAUAUAUGUCUUUCAGUUUGAUAGAACGACAGACGAGAAGGGAUAAGAAGCCAAGAAUCAAGUGCCUUCUACUUUUAUUUCUCUAUUUCUUGACCCCAUCGAUUUGACUGCUAAGUUCUUUCACAUUUCCAAGGAAAUUGCUGUUCCAGUGCCAUGUCAUCCAGUUCAGAUCACAGGCUAUGGUGGAAGGUGUCCCAAUUACUUUUACAAAAUAGCAAAACUCUUACUCUUGGCCUGGAUAAGUACAAAUGCAUAUGUGAUCAAGGGCAUUCAAAACUUAGGCGCUGAAGCAAAUUAAACCUUCUAUUAAAAGGAACAACAUUUGAAAAUUCCUAACAGAAACCAAGGUCCAUCUCCAGGAUCCAUCAGAGAGGACAGGAACCCACAGACACUAUCCACAGUGGCCUCCCACCUCGCCCCUCCAUUACUUAGGACACUCACUGCUCUCUGAUGAAACACACAGUGAAGAAGCGGCCUCACUUCAUGCCCAGCAGGAGAAGGUGCUGGGCAUGGGCCUGCCCCGUGCCUGGCCGCCCUCGGGCUCAGGUGCCCCUUCCUCAUCACUCACAGCCUCUUCACACAGGUGGAGGAAGGGAUUGGGAUCCCUGCUACUGACCCUGAGCAAAUACUCCAGGACUUUCAUCUUGCUG